rnacentral:misc_RNA from 1 species
UGUAGGAGCCGGCUUGCUGGCGAUGGCGGUGUGUCAGUAAACAGUUUCUUCGACUGACACCGCCAUCGCCAGCAAGCCGGCUCCUACA